AGCCGUCAUCAUCGUGAGCCACGACUCGCGGCUGAUCACGGAGACGGGCUGCCAGCUGUGGGUGGUGGAGCAGCAGAGCCUCAACCAAAUCGACGGGGAUUUCCAGGAUUACAAGAGGGAGGUGCUGGAGGCGCUGGGGGAGGAGGUGGCGCAGAGGGCCAGGGAGUGAAGGGGGGGACCCCAAAAAAAACCCCGUACGGAUGGGGGACCCUAAAAACCCCAUACGGAUGGGGGGAACCUCAUAAAAACCCCUUAUGGAUGGGGGACCCCAAAAACCCCAUACGGAUGGGGGGAACCUCAUAAAAACCCCAUAUGGAUGGAGGAACCCCAAUAACCCCAUACGGAUGGGGGGAACCUCAUAAAAACCCCAUAUGGAUGGGGGGAACCCCAUAAGGAUGGAGGGACCCCAAAAACCCAAUAUGGAUGAGGAGACCCCAAAAAAAACCCCAUACAGAUGGGGGAAGCUCAUAAAAACCCCAUAUGGAUGGAGGGACCCCAAAAACCCCAUAUGGAUGGGGGGAACCCAAAAAAAAUCCAUAUGGAUGGGAAGAACCCCAUAAGGAUGCAGGGCCCCCCAAAACCCCAUAUGGAUGAGGAGACACCAAAAAAACCCCAUACGGAUGGGGGACCCCAAAAAAUGCCAUCAUUUGUAUGGGGGACCCCAAAAACCCUAUAUGGACGGGGGAACCUCAUAAAAAGCCCAUAUGAAUGGGGGGGACCCCAAAAACCACAUCUGUAUGGGGGAAAUCCCAAAAGCAUGACAGUAUGGGGCUUGUAUGGGGGAAAUCCUAAAAGCAUGGCUGUAUGGGGUCUGUAUGGGGUCUGUAUGGGGGAAACCCUAAAAGUGUGUCUGUAUGGGGUCUGUAUGGGGGAAAUCCCAAAAGCACGGCUGUAUGGGGUCUGUAUGGGGGAAACCCUAAAAGCACGGCUGUAUGUGGUCUGUAUGGGGGAAGUCCUAAAAGCACGGCUGUAUGGGGUCCGUAUGGGGUUUGUAUGGG
rnacentral:lncRNA from 1 species